AUCACACUUAGCUGAGCCCACAGAGGCCCUGCAGGCGGGCGCCCCGUGGCGGAGCGAGCUGAAGCUGCAGCGAAGCUGCAGCUUGGGACGAGUUAGGAGGUAAAAUGCAGCCGAGCCGUCACGAGGAAUUGCUGGCCGAGAAACGCAAGCCUCCCCAAACCCAAGACGACUGUGCCCUCAAAGCAGACCACAUGGGAUGCUGCAAACUGUCCCAGGCCAGGAAGCCACUCGGAACUGGUGUCACAGGGACAGGGAGGGAGGAGAACUGCCCCGACAAGGCUGAGCUGUAACAGAAGCAAGAAGCAGGCGUGUCUGAGAAAACCCAGCACCCACGCAAGGAAGGAGAGGAAGGUGACCCGACUGUCCGCCUCUAGAAGGGAAACCUUUCUAAAGUCAAAGUUGUUUUGGAGUAAAGCGCUGAUGUAUAAAACACGCCGUGACCUCACCCAUCGUGUCACCACAGUCUGGGCUCCAUCCUCUCUAACCUGGACUCUGUAUCAUCGCCUCCCUGGUCUCCCUCCCUCUUGCACUCCCGCUUCCCUCGCAGUCUUCAAUCCUCCACACACGGAGCAACCACGCCGACUUCAGAAUGCAAGAUCACAUCAUCCUCCAACAAGGCCUACUGUGCUUAAAGUAAAAUGUCUCCACUGUG